AGUGGGAUAGCUGGGUCAAAUGGUGGUUCCAUUCCUAAUUUUCUGAGAAAUCUACAUACUGCUUUCCAUAGUGGUUGCACCAAUUUGCAAUCCCAUCAGCAGA
rnacentral:pre_miRNA from 1 species